rnacentral:rRNA from 1 species
AGUGAACGCUGGCGGUAGGCCUAACACAUGCAAGUCGAACGGCAGCACAGUAAGAGCUUGCUCUUACGGGUGGCGAGUGGCGGACGGGGGAGGAAUACAUCGGAAUCUACUUUUUCGUGGGGGAUAACGUAGGGAAACUUACGCUAAUACCGCAUACGACCUACGGGUGAAAGCAGGGGAUCUUCUGACCUUGCGCGAUUGAAUGAGCCGAUGUCGGAUUAGCUAGUUGGCGGGGUAAAGGCCCACCAAGGCGACGAUCCGUAGCUGGUCUGAGAGGAUGAUCAGCCACACUGGAACUGGGACACGGUCCAGACUACUACGGGAGGCAGCAGUGGGGAAUAUUGGACAAUGGGCGCAAGCCUGAUACAGCCAUACCGCGUGGGUGAAGAAGGCCUUCGGGUUGUAAAGACCUUUUGUUGGGAAAGAAAAGCAGCAGGUUAAUACCCCGCUGUUCUGACGGUACCCAAAGAAUAAGCACCGGCUAACUUCGUG